rnacentral:sRNA from 1 species
UGGACUUCUGGAGUGGAGAGUGGACGGUGACUCUCUGGAAGCGAUGUGGACGUCUUGCUGCCUCUGUUAGGUGUUCACACGUGCUUUCUCAGCUCUCCACACAGGGACAGCCCCCGGGUGCAGAUGAAAACAAUUGAGGACCAGAAAUCUGUCACCUGUGCCUUUGGCUAGGAACAGGAGCAGAGGACGGUGUCGUGUGAGCCAGCCAGGGAGGGCACAGCCUCAAUCGCCUUCCUCUGUGAUGACCUGCCUGCCUCUGGCUUUCAGCCAGCACCACCGCACCCCCUGCCCAGGCCUCCAGAGAAAACACCUCGAAAUUGUCUCCCAAGUCAUGGAACCUUUCCCAAGGGACCAGGGAAGGUCCAGAGUCCGAUCUGACUGCCCACUGGGCUGCAAGAACUCUCCCUGGCUUUCAGCGGAGCCAUCUGCCGCUAGGACUGUGAGUCUCCAGGCAGAAGCUGCCGUGACAAGUCCUGGCUAUGUCACUGUACUUAUCAACAGAACACCACAUCUGCCUACCCUGACACCAACAAUGGAAAUGCUAUGCCACCAGGAAGAUGGACAGGCAGGAGGCGGGACUUCUCCUGUAGGGGACUUUUAGAAGCUUUUAGAAGUCCCUAGGACAGAACCACUCUAUGACAUCAGCACAACAUCAGGAGUCUCCAGAGAGUCAUCCCACACGGUGGCCACAGACGCCUGAGCUGUGGAAGGUGGCCAUGGGGCUAUAACUUAUAUUUAAAUGCGUACUAGUCACGUGGAUUAUAU